rnacentral:lncRNA from 1 species
AAAGGCAGCACUGUAAACCUGAGGAAAGCCAACCCACAUCCCAGUCUACCCACUCUUAGAAGUGUGAUAAGGAAGCUUCACACAUUACCUUUACCACUUUCUUUUAAGAAGGAUAGCAUCUUGAGAGAGUUUAUUUGAAAGAAAUAUUAGACAUUGUCUCCGAGCUUUUACACCCCCUGCCCAUUUCUCAUCAGGUGACAUUGUCCUCCUUCUUUCACAAAGCCUCACCCUGUUUUAUCUCCACUCCUCUCACAUAUUCCUUUCAUCGCUGCAUCAUGCUUGACCUCUUGUCAUUUUGAUGGUCAUCUUGGUUCCAUUAACUGAACUUUGAUGAUGUCACAAUAGAGAAAGCAUCGCUGUACUGGUGUACUGCUCUGCACCAGUUUCCAUAAAUAUACACUUUCCUCUUUCCUCCAUUCAGUGCUCAAUGCUCUGGGCUGUUAUUGCUUUACUUGCUUCCAACAUGUAGUCCAGCAGGAAGUGGGAAAGGCAGUGAGCUUUCAGCUCAGAGUGACCACUUGAUGGUAUAGAAGGAAAGCUCAGUCUCAUAAUGUGGGAGCUGUUUAGUUCCCUUUGUCAGAACCAGAAGUGCUGAGAAAUGCAGAACAGAUGCCACUGCUCUCCAGCUCACUGCAACCUACAGUUUGCACUGAUAAAGGGCUCUGUGCUUGGACAUGAGUACUCAUGAUAAGGGAAGUGAUUCAGUGCACAAAUGUCCUGUUAUCAAGAAAGUACAACAUGUAAAGAAAAGCUGCUUCCUGGGCAGGAGAAUGAUGAAAGAUCAGGAAAGUGACUAACAACAUGGAAGCCUUAAUGAUGCCUAUCAAGUGCAAUAACUGAAAUCACUGUGGAUUGAGGCAAGGAUAACAAAAUGGGCUGUUCAGCACAAUGACUGCAAGCUAUUGUUUUUCAAGAAAAUGUCUGAAACUUGGCAAUGAUUAGCCUAUAACAAGUAGAAGGGAAAAGCAAAAAAAAAAAAAAACAACAAAAAAACAAAAAACCCCCCCACAAAAUAAAACAAACAAACAAAAAACA